rnacentral:rRNA from 1 species
ACGAACGCUGGCGGCGUGCUUAACACAUGCAAGUCGCACGGAAAGGCCCUGCUUUUGUGGGGUGCUCGAGUGGCGAACGGGUGAGUAACACGUGAGUAACCUGUCCUUGACUUUGGGAUAACUUCAGGAAACUGGGGCUAAUACCGGAUAGGAGCUCCUGCUGCAUGGUGGGGGUUGGAAAGUUUCGGCGGUUGGGGAUGGACUCGCGGCUUAUCAGCUUGUUGGUGGGGUAGUGGCUUACCAAGGCUUUGACGGGUAGCCGGCCUGAGAGGGUGACCGGCCACAUUGGGACUGAGAUACGGCCCAGACUCCUACGGGAGGCAGCAGUGGGGAAUAUUGCACAAUGGGCGGAAGCCUGAUGCAGCAACGCCGCGUGCGGGAUGACGGCCUUCGGGUUGUAAACCGCUUUCGCCUGUGACGAAGCGUGAGUGACGGUAAUGGGUAAAGAAGCACCGGCUAACUACGUG